UACAGAGGGUGCAAGCGUUAAUCGGAAUUACUGGGCGUAAAGCGUGCGCAGGCGGUUUUGUAAGACAGGCGUGAAAUCCCCGGGCUCAACCUGGGAAUUGCGCUUGUGACUGCAAAGCUGGAGUGCGGCAGAGGGGGAUGGAAUUCCGCGUGUAGCAGUGAAAUGCGUAGAUAUGCGGAGGAACACCGAUGGCGAAGGCAAUCCCCUGGGCCUGCACUGACGCUCAUGCACGAAAGCGUGGGGAGCAAACAGG
rnacentral:rRNA from 1 species